CGGCGGACGGGUGAGUAACACGUGGAUAACCUACCUAUAAGACUGGGAUAACCUCGGGAAACCGGAGCUAAUACCGGAUAAUAUAUUGAACCGCAUGGUUCAAUAGUGAAAGACGGUUUUGCUGUCACUUAUAGAUGGAUCCGCGCCGCAUUAGCUAGUUGGUAAGGUAACGGCUUACCAAGGCAACGAUGCGUAGCCGACCUGAGAGGGUGAUCGGCCACACUGGAACUGAGACACGGUCCAG
rnacentral:rRNA from 1 species